UAAUUGUAGGGGAUUUCAACAUCCAUUGUUGGAGGAGCAGCAGCUCUCUGUAGGAUGUUCAGGAGACGCAGACGGGGCAAGC